rfam:Schistosoma mansoni strain Puerto Rico chromosome W, complete genome
GCACUGCUGAGGAGUCCCAAAAUAGGACGAAACAGUCGCCCAGUGC